rnacentral:rRNA from 1 species
AGCCUGAUGCAGCAACGCCGCGUGAGUGAUGAAGGUCUUCGGAUUGUAAAGCUCUGUCUUUUGGGACGAUAAUGACGGUACCAAAGGAGGAAGCCACGGCUAACUACGUGCCAGCAGCCGCGGUAAUACGUAGGUGGCGAGCGUUGUCCGGAUUUACUGGGCGUAAAGGGUGCGUAGGCGGAUGUUUAAGUGAGAUGUGAAAUACCCGGGCUUAACUUGGGUGCUGCAUUUCAAACUGGAUAUCUAGAGUGCAGGAGAGGAGAAUGGAAUUCCUAGUGUAGCGGUGAAAUGCGUAGAGAUUAGGAAGAACACCAGUGGCGAAGGCGAUUCUCUGGACUGUAACUGACGCUGAGGCACGAAAGCGUGGGUAGCAAACAGGAUUAGAUACCCUGGUAGUCCACGCCGUAAACGAUGAGUACUAGGUGUAGGAGGUAUCGACCCCUUCUGUGCCGCAGUAAACACAUUAAGUACUCCGCCUGGGAAGUACGAUCG